CUGAUACAAUGAUGAUCCCAUAGUUCAGCAGAUUUACUGUGACGAGUAACUUGCUUUGUCUUUCGCUCCUAGCUGAUGUAUCGG